rnacentral:rRNA from 1 species
UACGAAGGGUGCAAGCGUUAAUCGGAAUUACUGGGCGUAAAGCGCGCGUAGGUGGUUCAGCAAGUUGGAUGUGAAAGCCCCGGGCUCAACCUGGGAAUUGCAUCCAAAACUACUGAGCUAGAGUACGGUAGAGGGUGGUGGAAUUUCCUGUGUAGCGGUGAAAUGCGUAGAUAUAGGAAGGAACACCAGUGGCGAAGGCGGCCACCUGGACUGAUACUGACACUGAGGUGCGAAAGCGUGGGGAGCAAACAGG